GAUGAACGCUGGCGGCGUGCCUAAUACAUGCAAGUCGAGCGAACGGACGAGAAGCUUGCUUCUCUGAUGUUAGCGGCGGACGGGUGAGUAACACGUGGAUAACCUACCUAUAAGACUGGGAUAACUUCGGGAAACCGGAGCUAAUACCGGAUAAUAUUAUGAACCGCAUGGUUCAACAGUGAAAGACGGUCUUGCUGUCACUUAUAGAUGGAUCCGCGCUGCAUUAGCUAGUUGGUAAGGUAACGGCUUACCAAGGCAACGAUGCAUAGCCGACCUGAGAGGGUGAUCGGCCACACUGGAACUGAGACACGGUCCAGACUCCUACGGGAGGCAGCAGUAGGGAAUCUUCCGCAAUGGGCGAAAGCCUGACGGAGCAACGCCGCGUGAGUGAAGAAGGUCUUCGGAUCGUAAAACUCUGUUAUUAGGGAAGAACAUAUGUGUAAGUAACUGUGCACGUCUUGACGGUACCUAAUCAGAAAGCCACGGCUAACUACGUG
rnacentral:rRNA from 1 species